UAGCACAGCAUGACUUGGAAAACUAAACUGAAUACGUAUAAGAUUACAUUUCCUUUGCCUGGAUAUCGAUUAAACAGCGCAAUUGCAUGCGCUGCAUACAAACAAACAAAGUCGCUAGUCACAUACCAACGGAAUCCAUCCACCAUCCAUCCAUGCGAAAACAGUACUACUAGGAUGACUGGCUCGCAUCAUGUCAGUCAUCCUCCUUGAGCGGAAAAGCCAUAUCCAUGACGAUCGCGUCGUCAUCCUCGUCUUCAUCCUCCUCCAGCGGAAAAGGCAUCGACGGACCCCCCUCGUCGACGGGAGCACUCAUCCAUGGAUCACCCUCGACCACAUCCAUGACGAUGGCGUGCCUGCUCACAUCGAUAUCCUCGUCUUCAUCCUCCUCCAGCGGAAAAGGCAUCGACGGACCCCCCUCGUCGACGGGAGCACUCAUCCAUGGAUCACCCUCGACCAC
rnacentral:lncRNA from 1 species